rnacentral:rRNA from 1 species
AACGAACGCUGGCGGCAGGCUUAACACAUGCAAGUCGAACGCCCCGCAAGGGGAGUGGCAGACGGGUGAGUAACGCGUGGGAAUCUACCUAGUUCUACGGAACGACUGAGGGAAACUUCAGCUAAUACCGUAUACGCCCUACGGGGGAAAGAUUUAUCGGAAUUAGAUGAGCCCGCGUAAGAUUAGCUAGUUGGUGGGGUAAUGGCCUACCAAGGCGACGAUCUUUAGCUGGUCUGAGAGGAUGAUCAGCCACACUGGGACUGAGACACGGCCCAGACUCCUACGGGAGGCAGCAGUGGGGAAUAUUGGACAAUGGGCGCAAGCCUGAUCCAGCAAUGCCGCGUGAGUGAUGAAGGCCUUAGGGUUGUAAAGCUCUUUCAGUGGGGAAGAUAAUGACGGUACCCACAGAAGAAGCCCCGGCUAACUUCGUGCCAGCCGCCGCAGUAA